GCCUGAGUGGUGGAAUUUGGUAGACGCACUGCGUUCAGAGCGCAGCGGCCGUGAGGCCAUGAGGGUUCGAGUCCCUCCUCAGGUA
rnacentral:tRNA from 5 species